GCCCGGAUGGUGGAAUUGGUAGACACAAGGGAUUUAAAAUCCCUCGGCGUUCGCGCUGUGUGGGUUCAAGUCCCACUCCGGGUACCA
rnacentral:tRNA from 1 species